rnacentral:snRNA from 1 species
AUCGCUUCUCGGCCUUUUGGCUAAGAUCAAGUGUAGUAUCUGUUCUUAUCAGUUUAAAAAUCAAUAAAAACAUUUUUUUAAAAAGAAGCAAGUACAGAGAAUAAUU